UCGACGAGCGUCACUGUUGGUGUGUUACAAACACCUGUGCAGUGCACCUGCGAUUUCUUGUGGUUUUGGUAGUAGCACAGCUGGUGAGAGAGAGAGAGCGUGUUGUCUUCAGCUGUCAAGACUCCAAACGGGGAAGUUUUUUAUCUAAAGCUCAGACAGAAAUGACUGAUCCAUACACGUACUGCAACAGUAGACUAAUAAUUCUGUAUUAAAUAUACUGCACACCUGAGAUUGUUCAAAUCAAUUUUGACUUCUGUUUUCUUCACAUGUCUCAGAACAGAAGUGUUGUGGUACCUAACUGUGUGAAUGCCACUCCGGUAAGCUGACAGCAGUUUGCAUUUUGCCUUGAUUUACACUCUGGUUGCUUUCAGUCUGAAUAUCCAUGUUUUUGGUCAGUUGAAUUCUGUUGAUGUUGAUACUUUUUUGAUGUAUGAGAACAAAUCACGCUAUGGUUGGCACAGAAAUUCCCCAGAUCUGUCACCUGUCAUUCUGUGUUUGUAAGUGUAACUCACCUUAAAAAACACACACACACAUACUCCUCACUUCUUGGAGGAAGCACAACAACGUCAUUACUGCAUUCGGGGAAAUGCCACUAAAGCACCAUGAUUUCUCUUCAUUUAUUGCCUGCAGACUGCACUGCACAUGAGUUCUUCUGUAGAUCAGAGUGUUGUAGUCUCAUUUCUUUGUUCAAACGCACGCAUGCACACACACAAAUUUUUGCAUUCAUGGCUUGUGUUAAUAUUUUUCUGUAAAAUGAAUGCAUUUCUUUCUCUUAAACAGUCCCAAGUAGUGGCCAGACCUCCUUUGGGCAAAGGCAAGGUGCUCAACUUUAAGUACCAUUCAGUCAACACGACGAUUGAAUGGAAAUCAAGGAAUGAAGAGCCUAACCUGAUAUCCCAAGCAAAUGGAGAGCUGGCGAUCAUUAAAGAUGGAGAUUAUUUCCUGUGUCUUCAGAUCACGCUUUCACAAAAUGAUUGUCAGAGAUCCCAGCAUAACGUGAGCCUGAAGAAGGAUGAAAAGAUUCUCCUGGAGCGCCCGAUGAAUCGCAACACAUGCAGCACAGGUUUUAUGGGCAAAGCAGUGUCGCUGCAGGGUAACAACAGGGUGAAGGUAACAAUCGAGCCGCAGGUCAACAACAUCAACUCUUCUGAGGCUGCCACCUACCUGGAUAUCAUCUACCUCUUCUAGUCUUAGAUGCAGCUCCGAAGCAAUAAACUGUUCCGAAUCCUUGGUGUGUUACACCCAGCCCCAUCCAAACUCUGAGACCCCCGAAUCGAUGACACCCCCCAAACAGCACCACCUGUGUUUAAACAACAAAGACAGACAAACAGGAUCAGUGAAUCGCCUUCCUUCAGACUGAGAUUUGACUGCUACAGAGAAUCCAGCUGAAUUUUAUUGUUAUCUGUCUUAUCUGCUGGGUGGGUUGAAAAAAAAAAUCCCUUAAAAUCCACCCCAAAACAGAAUUUCAUUGAUUUCAAGUUGAUGUCACUACAAAUCUGUUUUCUGGGUGUUCAUUUUAAAGGGGAGUAAUACCUUCACACUGAGCUGCACAAUAUGACAAAAGUGAGUUUUGAGUUCAGCCGAGUGUUUGUUCAGGCUAUCACCAAAAGCACACAUCAUGUUGACACACCACCACAGACACACUGGGCUUGAACAUGUCACUAAAUAGUUGCUCAAGUAAUCUGCACCCAAUUACUGUUACAACCAUAAUCGGCAGCUCACUAACACCAGUUGAUUAUCAAGCUGGCACUAUGGCAGACAAAACAAGUUAAACAUUGAACGAAUCCUUUUCCUCAUGUGACCGUUUCACAGCACACAUUCACUUUGGAUUUUUCUUGUGUGCAUACGCAUUUUGUUUUGGGUUUUUUUUUCUGCUGCCGUGUUCCCGACAGCACCUACUUGAAAGCACCUCGCGUAGAACGUUUUAAUAUAUAAACUUACAAAUAUAAUGGAGCGGCGCGAGCUCAGUUGGUAGAGCAGGUUGUCCUAUGACCGAAGGGACGUCAGUUCAAAUCCAGGCUCACCAACCAUUCAAAUGUCUGCAUAUUGCCAUUGUAUUCACAAUUUUGUUGAACUCCUAGAGGUCCCAGUUCAUGUCUGUGUUGUGGCCGGAAUGUCACAUUCUCAUUUUUGUCUCCAAUCAGUCACAAUAGAUCACAAAUAGGUCACCAAUGCCUCACAACAUUGUCUCACAUUUUGUGCACUUUUCUGACUCAUGCAAAAGUAAAUUGAGAAGAAUUCGAGACAGGUUGAGACGCCUACAAUGGCUCUGUGACAAUUCUGAGAGAAAAUUUGUCACGCAAAUGUUUUGAACAUUUUCAAAAUUUCUGCGAUACUAGAGCGAGGCCCUGUGACUCACACAAGGAAACUGAAACCUCCAUGAAUGUUUUGAGACAUUUUGGAAAAUCCCUGGCAAAUGGCAGUUGCAAUUUGUCGCCAACGGUCGCAGCCUGGUGACAUACUGGCUUAAGUUCAUGGAGACUCACCAUCAAUGUUGUCCUUUUCCAUCAUUUGAAUAGUUCAGAGUUUGAGUCACAGAGCUCCCUGUGGAGCUCCAGUCGUAUAAGAGGAGAAAAUGAGUUCUUGAAACCGGACAGCAGUCAUGUGACUUUUUUCAGUCAGAGCAAUGGUUU